UGCCAGCAGCCGCGGUAAUACAGAGGGUGCAAACGUUGCUCGGAAUUAUUGGGCGUAAAGCGCAUGUAGGCGGUCUUGUAAGUCGACUGUGAAAGCCCAUGGCUCAACCAUGGAAGUGCAUUCGAUACUGCAAGACUCGAAUCCCGGAGAGGGUGGCGGAACUCCCAGUGUAGAGGUGAAAUUCGUAGAUAUUGGGAAGAACACCGGUGGCGAAGGCGGCCACCUGGACGGGUAUUGACGCUGAGAUGCGAAAGCGUGGGGAGCAAACAGGAUUAGAUA
rnacentral:rRNA from 1 species